GGUAGCGUGGCUGAGUGGUCUAAGGCGCUGGUUUUACGCACCAGCCCUUCUUAGUGCGUGGGUUCGAAUCCCACCGCUGCCA